CUGCACCAAAUGACACAUCUAAGCAUGUGAUCUCGUGGAGUGCCCCUGUGUUCAUCAAAGUGGCUUGAUAGCAGACCUGGAGGAGGAGAACAGAGGAGAGUCCUACAUGUCACUUCACCAGUACAUACAGAGGAAAACGCUGUUCAGAUAAGUGAGAUCAGCGA